UACGGAGGGUGCAAGCGUUGUUCGGAAUUACUGGGCGUAAAGAGCACGUAGGCGGGUUCGUAAGCCGAUUGUGAAAUCCCGGGGCUUAACCUCGGAAUGGCAGUCGGAACUGCGAAUCUUGAAUGCUUGAUAGGGUGGGGGAAUUCCUGGAGUAGAAGUGAAAUUCGUAGAUAUCAGGAGGAACAUCAGAGGCGAAGGCG
rnacentral:rRNA from 1 species